UACGUAGGGUGCAAGCGUUGUCCGGAAUUAUUGGGCGUAAAGAGCUCGUAGGCGGUCUGUUGCGUCGGCUGUGAAAACCCGGGGCUCAACUCCGGGCCUGCAGCCGAUACGGGCAGACUAGAGUUCGGCAGGGGAGACUGGAAUUCCUGGUGUAGCGGUGAAAUGCGCAGAUAUCAGGAGGAACACCGGUGGCGAAGGCGGUUCUCUGGGCAUGAUCUGACGCUGAAGAGCGAAAGUGUGGGGAGCGAACAGG
rnacentral:rRNA from 1 species